rnacentral:lncRNA from 1 species
CUUAUGAAGAAGCUGUUUUUUUUCCAGUCUCAAGUCUAGCCUUACAAAACCUUAUAUGCUCCCAUUUCACCAUGCGGCUUAUGGUAUCCCAUGAUGCUCAGCUAAGCCUGCGGGUCCUGGGGAAUAACCACGGAUAUGUAGAAGAGACACGUUCAUCUAACAGGACACUGGCAGAGUUCAUCAGCCUGAGUUUGAAAACCUUGACUUCACCAAACCUUCCAAGAUGCAUUUACGUCUGGACUUUCCCUUGUGAAAUUAAACUGGAGAAGAUCAUACAGCCAAGGAUUUCACCAACAGGCCCCAAGAAUGUAUAGGUC